rnacentral:rRNA from 1 species
GAUGAACGCUGGCGGCGUGCCUAAUACAUGCAAGUCGAGCGAAGCGGGGACGGGUGAGUAACACGUAGCUAACCUCCUAUAAGACUGGGAUAACUUCGGGAAACCGGAGCUAAAUCGGACACUUAUAGAUGGUUCCGCGAUGCAUUAGCAGGAUGGAAAGGUAACGGCUUACCAAGGCAACGAUGAAUAGCCGACCAGAGAGGAUGAUCAGCCUAACUGGAACAGAGACACGGUCCAGACGCCUACGGGAGGCAGCAGUAGUGAAUCUUCCGCAAUGGGCUGAAGCCUGACGGAGCAACGCCGCGUGAGUGAAGAAGGUCUUCGGAUCGUAAAACUCUUUUAGUAGGGAAGCGGUACCUAAUCAGAAAGCCACGGCUAACUACGUGCCAGCAGCCGCGGUAAUGC